CUUGUUUAUGUUCGGGUCGGUGAGACUCUUGUAAUAAGUUUGUCAAACCUAGUGAAGGGGAGACAACUUAGUGAUUAGUCAGUGAGACUUAUGAUAAGUUCGUCAAACCUAGUGAAGGGGAGACGACUUAGUAAUUGGUCAGUGAGACCGUUGUAUCGCUCUAGUGAAGAGCCAAUACAGUUAUAGUGAAUUCGUUGGUGAGGGUAGUAAACUCGAACCAGCCGUGGACGUAGGUUGCACGCAUUGUGUAGCUGAACCACGUAUAUCUUGUGUUUGCGAUUGCUUGGUUGGUUUGCUUGAGUUAUUCUUGCCAUAACCAUCGAAUCAGAUUGAAGAGCGCAAAAAGGAAAGAAUUUGAAGGAGCACUGAUUCACCCCCCCUCUCAGUGCUCGUAUUGGGACUAACAUAAGGCAAUUGACUUUAUGGGAUCCCCUAGUGGGUUGUACCGCUGACCAACCUUGAUCUUUUGAAAGGGAUUCGAGUUUGAGCAUGCCUAUUGGGACCCAAAAGAUAGUGAACUGUGCUUGAGCAGGGCGAAGCCAGAGGAAACUCUAGCGGUGGCCCACAGCAAUACUGACGUGCAAAUCGUUAGUCUGGCUUGGGUAUAGGGGCGAAAGACUAAUCGAACCAUCUAGUAGCUGGUUCUUUCUGAAGUUUCCCUUAGGAUAGCUGGGGCUCAUAGACGAGUUCUAUCAAGUAAAGCCAAUGAUUAGAGGCAUUGUGGGCGCACUGCCCUCGACUUAUUCUCAAACUCUAAAUAGGUAGGAUGGCGUGACUGCUUUGUUGAGCCACGCCACGGAAUCAAGAGCUCCAAGUGGGCCAUUUUUUGUAAACAGAACUGGUGAUGUGGGAUGAAUCAGAAGUCGGGUUACGGUGCCUAACUAUGUGUUAACCUAGAACCCGCAAAGGGUAUUGGUCGAUGAAGACAAUCGGACGGUGGUCAUGGAAGUCGAAAUCUGCUAAGGAGUGUGUAAUAACUCACCUGCCAAAUUAACUAGCCCCAAGAAUGGAGGGUGCUGAAGCUCGUGACCUACACCCAACCAUCAUCGUGAAUGCUAGGCCUUGAUGAGUAAGAGGGCACGGCGGUCACUGCGAAACCUGGGACGUGAGCCUGGGCAUAGCAUCCGUUGGUGCGGAUCUUGGUGGUAGUAGCAAAUAUUUAAAUGAUAACUUUGAAGGUUAAAGAGAGGAAAGGUUCCAUGUGAACGGCACUUUCACAUGGGUUAGUCGAUCCUAAGAGAUGGGGGAAACCCGUCCGAUAGCAUGCACCAUGCGAGCUUCAAAAGCGAAUCAAGUUAAAAUUCUUGAAUCAGGAUGUGGCGGUUGACGGAAACGUUAGGGAGUCCGAAGACGUUGUCGAGGGCCUUGGGAAGAGUGAUCUUUUUUGUUUAACAGGUUGGCCAUAUUGGUAACAGUUUAGCCGGAGGUUCGGUCUAGCGGCUGGAAUAGCACCACACGUCACGUGGUGUCUGGUGUGCCCUCUACAGCCCUUGAAAAUCCGGAGGACCGAGUGCCUCCCACGCUCAGUCGUACUUAUAACUGCAUCAGGUCUCCAGGGUGAGCAACUUCUAGUCAAUGAAAUAAUGUAGGCAAGGGAAGUUGGCAAAAUGGAUCCGUAACUUUGGGAAAAAGAUUGGCUUUGAGGGUUGGCCCAAGGGUCCCUAUCCUGAACCCAUCGGCUGUUGGUGGACUGCUCGAGCUGCUCCCGCAGUGAGAGUGGUUCGCCACGUGCUGUCCGGGGGAUGGACUGGGAACAACUCUUUCGGAGGCCUUUCCCGGGCGUCUAACAAUCGGCUCAGAAUUGGUAUGGACAAGGGGAAUCCACUGUUUAAUUAAAACAAAGCAUUGCGAUAGUCCCAGCAGAUGCUAAUGCAAUGUGAUUUUUACCCAGUGCUCUGAAUGUCAAAGUGAAGAAAUUCAACUAAGCGCGAGUAAACGGCAAGAGUAACUAUGACUCUCUUAAGGCGGCCAAAUGUCUUGUCAUCUAAUUAGUGAUGCGCAUGAAUGGAUUAACGAAAUUCUCACUAUCCUUAUCUACUAUCUAGUGAAACCACAGUUCUUGGAACGGGCUUGGCAGAAUCAGCGGGGAAAAAAGACCCCGUUGAGCUUGACUUUAGUCUGACUUUGUGAAAUGAUUUGAGAGGUGUAGGAUAAGUGGAGGAGCUGGAGAUGGCAAAAGUGAAAUACCACUACUUUAACCGUUAUUUUACCUAUUACGUGAAUUGGAAGCGGGGCUCUCACCCCUUUUGUUAGAACCAAGACAUGCGCUCGUGCGUCUACUUGGGCGGAAGACAUUGUCAAGUGGGGAGUUUGGUUGGGGUGGUACAUCUGUUAAAAGAUAACGCAGGUGUCCUGAGAUGAGCUCAACGAGAACAGAAAUCUCGUUUGGAAAAAAAGGGUAAAAGCUCGUUUGAUUUUAAUUUUUAGUACGAAUACAAACCGCGAAAGCAUGGCCUAUCGAUCCUUUAGAACUUCAAAAUUUGAAGUUAGAGGUGUCAUAAAAGUUACCGCAGGGAUAACUGACUUGUGGCAGCCAAGCAUCCGUAGUGACUUUGCUUUUUGAUCCUUUGAUGUCGGCUCUUCCUAUUAUUAUGAAGUAGAAUUUACCAAGUGUUGGAUUGUUUACCCACCAAUAGGGAACUUAAGCUGGGUUUAGAUCGUCGUGAGACAGUUAGUUUUACCCUACUGAUAAUAGCGUCGCCAUAGUAAUUCAACUUAGUAUGAGAGGAACCGUUGAUUUGCACAAUUGGUCAUCACACUCGGUUGAAAAGCUAGUGGCACAAAACCACCAUGCGUUAGAUUAUAACUCAAUGAGUGUGCCUGUAAUUUGUUAACAAACAAAUGUCCUCCAAACGAGGGUUUUGGAUUUUGAUGAAAAUUUGGAUUUCAAAUUCCCAUGAUCCAAAAAUGAAUGGUAGUUAAUUACAUCGAGUCACUAAAGUGAGCGAAGACCUAUGAUU
rnacentral:rRNA from 1 species